rnacentral:rRNA from 1 species
UACGGGGGGGGCAAGCGUUGUUCGGAAUUACUGGGCGUAAAGGGUUCGUAGGUGGCCAACUAAGUCAGACGUGAAAUCCCUCAGCUUAACUGGGGAACUGCGUCUGAGACUGGAUGGCUUGAGUGCAGGAGAGGAACGCGGAAUUCCAGGUGUAGCGGUGAAAUGCGCAGAUAUCAGGAAGAACACCAAUGGCGAAGGCAGCUCUCUGGGACGGUACUGACGCUGAGACGCGAAAGCGUGGGGAGCGAACAGG